AUUGAACGCUGGCGGCAUGCCUUACACAUGCAAGUCGAACGGUAACGGGCCUUCGGGUGCCGACGAGUGGCGAACGGGUGAGUAAUGUAUCGGAACGUACCUUUCAGUGGGGGAUAACGUAGCGAAAGUUACGCUAAUACCGCAUAUUCUGUGGGCAGGGAAGCAGGGGAUCGCAAGACCUUCCGCUGAUUGAGCGGCCGAUAUCAGAUUAGCUAGUUGGUGAGGUAAAAUCGAACCAAGGCGACGGUCUGUAGCGGGUCUGAGAGGAUGAUCCGCCACACUGGAACUGAGACACGGUCCAGACUCCUACGGGAGGCAGCAGUGGGGAAUUUUGGACAAUGGGGGCAACCCUGAUCCAGCCAUGCCGCGUGAGUGAAGAAGGCCUUCGGGUUGUAAAGCUCUUUCGGCCGGGAAGAAAUCGUAUCAGCUAAUACCUGGUGCGGAUGACGGUACCGGCAUAAGAAGCACCGGCUAACUACGUGCCAGCCGCCGCCGUAAGAC
rnacentral:rRNA from 1 species